rnacentral:rRNA from 1 species
GACGAACGCUGGCGGCGUGCCUAAUACAUGCAAGUAGAACGCACAGUUUAUACCGUAGCUUGCUACACCAUAGACUGUGAGUUGCGAACGGGUGAGUAACGCGUAGGUAACCUGCCUGGUAGCGGGGGAUAACUAUUGGAAACGAUAGCUAAUACCGCAUAAUAUUAAUUAUUGCAUGAUAAUUAAUUGAAAGGUGCAAUUGCACCACUACCAGAUGGACCUGCGUUGUAUUAGCUAGUAGGUGAGGUAACGGCUCACCUAGGCGACGAUACAUAGCCGACCUGGGGGGGGGAUCGGCCAACCUGGGACUGAGACACGGCUCAGGCUCCUACGGGAGGCAGCAGGAAGGAAUCUUCGGGAAUGGGCGAAAGUCUGACCGGACAACGCCGCGGGGGUGAAGGAGGGUUUCGGAUCGUAAAGCUCUGUUGUAAGGGAAGAACGGGUGUGAGAGUGGAAAGUUCACACUGUGACGGUAUCUUACCAGAAAGGGACGGCUAACUACGUG